rnacentral:snRNA from 1 species
GGAUGGGAGGGCGAUCUGGCUGCGACAUCUGUCACCCCAUUGAUUGCCAGGGUUGAUUCAGCUGAUCUGGCUGGCUAGGCGGGUGUCCCCCUCCUCCCUCACCGAUCCAUGUACGUCCCUCCCGAAGCUGCACACUCGGUCGAAGAGGACGACCUUCCCCCCUGAGGAGAGGACCAGUCUUCAGUCAAGGGUAUACAAGUAGCUGUGCUCCCCUGCUAGAACCUCCAAACAAGCUCUCAAGAAUCUCCUAGAAACCUCAGAGGAACUUAGAGAGUCCUUCAAGUAUCUU